AGCAAGGAGGCACUAGUGCAAUCCUUUUUGUUGUUGCUCAGAACCCUCGCUUGCUUCGUGAUGCUCCGUGGUGGGGGAGGGGUCAGAGUGGGCCUGGUGCCCAGUGAAGGAAGCGUCUUGAUAUCAACUGCCCAGUCUGGGAGGCUGAGGCGGGCUGAUUUCUGUGAGUUCUAGGUUAGCCAGAGCUACAUAGUUCCUGUCACACAAAAUCAAUAAGGUUGGCAAGAUGGCUUAGCCAACUGGCUGCUCUUAAAGUGGAAUGAGGUGGAAAAGACCAAUCGUUAGACGCUGAUUCAUUGAUUUAUUUAGUGACUUACUUAAAAAGCACUGUUUGCACUGCCUGUUGCCAAGAUGACUUCACCCGAUACCUGGAACAGAAUGACCUGGAGAAAUGGCUGAGAUCACGGGUCGUUGCCCUUAGCAACCUGCGGACUGCCACAUGUCUUACCACUGAGUUGUAGCCCCAGGUUUCCUGCCUUCAGAGCCCACCUCCCAUCCCUGACUUAAUUUUGAGACAGUGCCUUACUAAAUUACCCAUGCCAGCUGUGAACUCGUAGUCCUCCUGCCUUGGCCACCCCAGUAGCUCAGGCUACAGGUUUGCACCACCUGACCCAUUGGAUCACAGACUGUUUAUUGGUGUGGAUCAUCACUCACAGUGCUGGCUUUUGCAAAGUACACUGUAGAUGUCUUCAGACGCACCAGAAGAGGGC